rfam:Ruminococcus sp. CAG:60 genomic scaffold, scf452
GGACCACCCGAUCAGGGUUAAGGCCAUACGGACAGCCGGGUCCACUGCCGA